GAUGAACGCUGGCGGCGUGCUUAACACAUGCAAGUCGAACGAGAAAUGUAGACGGAAACCUUCGGGCGGAAGCCUUCAUUUCGAGUGGCGGACGGGUGAGUAACGCGUGGGUAACCUGCCUCAUACAGGGGGAUAACAGUUGGAAACGACUGGUAAUACCGCAUAAGACCACAGCAUCGCAUGAUGCGGGGGUAAAAACUCCGGUGGUAUGAGAUGGACCCGCGUUCGAUUAGCCAGUUGGCGGGGUAACGGCCCACCAAAGCGACGAUCGAUAGCCGAUCUGAGAGGAUGACCGGCCACAUUGGGACUGAGACACAGACCAAACUCCUACGGGAGGCAGCAGUGGGGAAUAUUGCACAAUGGGGGAAACCCUGAUGCAGCGACGCCGCGUGAGUGAAGAAGUACUUCGGUAUGUAAAGCUCUAUCAGCAGGGAAGAAAAUGACGGUACCUGAGUAAGAAGCCCCGGCUAACUACGUG
rnacentral:rRNA from 1 species